GACGAACGCUGGCGGCGUGCUUAACACAUGCAAGUCGAACGGAAAGGCCCUGCUUUUGUGGGGUGCUCGAGUGGCGAACGGGUGAGUAACACGUGAGUAACCUGCCCUUGACUUUGGGAUAACUUCAGGAAACUGGGGCUAAUACCGGAUAGGAGCUCCUGCUGCAUGGUGGGGGUUGGAAAGUUUCGGCGGUUGGGGAUGGACUCGCGGCUUAUCAGCUUGUUGGUGGGGUAGUGGCUUACCAAGGCUUUGACGGGUAGCCGGCCUGAGAGGGUGACCGGCAAGGGUGGGGCGGGUCGGCGAGGGAGGAGGCGGGGGGAGGAGGGAGGGGCGAAGAGUGGACAGGGGGGGGGAGUGGGAGGCAGGGGCGCCGCGGGGGGGGGGGCGGCGUGGGGGUUGUAAACGGCGUGGGGCGGGGAGGGAGCGGGGUGGACGGGAAGGAGAAAAGAAGCACCGGCUAACUCCGGGCAAGCAGCUGCGGGAAUAGUCGAAGCGCACCCGUUGGACC
rnacentral:rRNA from 1 species